UGACAGUCUAGUUUUGACAGCCCCAAGGAAAAAAACUUAUUUUCAAAGUAAAUGUGAAAUUGUGAUUAAAAUACACCACGCGACUAAUUAUGGACGGUGUACCAGUUAGAGACCCAAAUCGUCUCACAGAUAUUGAGGAAGUGUCGAUACUGUGGAUAAAAUGUGUGGCACAUUCUCCGUAUCCAGACGAACUAGAAGAUGGCCUUUAGCGAUAUUUUUUCAGUUUUUGAAUAAACAGCAGGAAUAAACAGUCAAA